rnacentral:rRNA from 1 species
GGCUACGAGGACGAACGCUGGCGGCGUGCCUAACACAUGCAAGUCGAACGAGGUCCAUCCUUCGGGAGAAGACCUAGUGGCGAACGGGUGAGUAACACGUGAAGAACCUGCCCCGAAGACCGGGAUAACCCUCCGAAAGGAGAGCUAAUACCGGAUACCCCCACCGAACCGCAUGGUUUGGUGAGGAAAUGGAUUCCGCUUCGGGAGGGCUUCGCGGCCUAUCAGCUAGUUGGUGGGGUAACGGCCCACCAAGGCAUCGACGGGUAGCUGGUCUGAGAGGACGAUCAGCCACACUGGGACUGAGACACGGCCCAGACUCCUACGGGAGGCAGCAGUGGGGAAUCUUGCGCAAUGGGGCGAAAGCCUGACGCAGCAACGCCGCGUGGGGAUGAAGGCUCUCGGGUUGUAAACCCCUUUCAGCAGGGACGAAUCAAGACGGUACCUGCAGAAGAAGCCCCGGCUAACUACGUG